rnacentral:rRNA from 1 species
GAUGAACGCUGGCGGCGUGCCUAAUACAUGCAAGUCGAGCGAAUGGAUAAAGAGCUUGCUCCUAUGAAGUUAGCGGCGGACGGGUGAGUAACACGUGGGUAACCUGCCCAUAAGACUGGGAUAACUCCGGGAAACCGGGGCUAAUACCGGAUAACAUUUUGAACCGCAUGGUUCGAAAUUGAAAGGCGGCUUCGGCUGUCACUUAUGGAUGGACCCGCGUCGCAUUAGCUAGUUGGUGAGGUAACGGCUCACCAAGGCAACGAUGCGUAGCCGACCUGAGAGGGUGAUCGGCCACACUGGGACUGGGACACGGCCCAGACUCCUACGGGAGGCAGCAGUAGGGAAUCUUCCGCAAUGGACGAAAGUCUGACGGAGCAACGCCGCGUGAGUGAUGAAGGCUUUCGGGUCGUAAAACUCUGUUGUUAGGGAAGAACAAGUGCUAGUUGAAUAAGCUGGCACCUUGACGGUACCUAACCAGAAAGCCACGGCUAACUACGUGCCAGCCGCCGCAGUAA